rnacentral:rRNA from 1 species
CGGCGACGGAGGAGUAACGCGUGGAUUAUCUGCCCUGAGGUGGGGGAUAACCCGGGGAAACUCGGGCUAAUACCGCAUAUGACCGUGAGGUCAAAGGGGGGUCGCAAGAUCUCUCGCCAUAGGAGGAGUCCGCGUCCGAUUAGCUAGUUGGUAGGGUAAUGGCCUACCAAGGCGACGAUCGGUAGCCGGCCUGAGAGGGUGAUCGGCCACACUGGAACUGAGACACGGUCCAG